AAGGCGGCGCUGAGGGAGCGGCGGAGCUGAGGGGUUUCCUUGUUCGCUGAGAGGUACCGGCGAGCGCCGUUCGCCGCUGGGAUGGCCGCUCUCGGCGCCUGGGAGUAUCACCGACCGUCUCUGGGGCCGGUUCCCCUUCCCGCCUCGCCGGUGCUCCCACAGCGGCUUCCCUGUCACGGUCGGCGGGAGGAGGGUCUGGGGGUGCCGGUGGAGCUCGGCCUUUUGUCCCAGGAGGGCGGGCAGGACUUGUCACUGCUGUUUAGGGUUCUCCAGGAUAAUGACAACCUUUUCCCGAACUCCCUUUUCCUUCAGGAGUUCACUACCCUUCACCCAUCCGUUCUGCACAAGGGCUACGAUAAAGGUGGAGCCUUUCUUCCCGGGGCUGGGGGACUGCAGCCUGAGGUGAACGUGAAAGAAAGUCUCAGAAGAAUAAACCUAAAUCAGCUCCUCAUUCUGAAGAACUCCCUGUUCAUAACGAGAUUCUGAAAGAAGUUAAAUAUCAAGAGAAUAUUCCAUUCACCGACCUGGCAGUAAAAGGCCUCCUCAAGAACUGUUUUUCCUCUCCUGAUUUGAUUGUCCCGUUCAGCCUAGAGAAGAUUUUUUUUUCCUAAGGAGCUCUAAACCGUUGGCAACUGAUCUGAAGCCGCAGUUGAUCGGUAGAAAGUUUCUUGCCGAGUUCAGUGAGGGAAGUCUUGAAGCUCUGCCAGGCGGCGCGCGCUGCGGUGCAGCCGUGCUCUCUCCUGGGUGACAUUUCGAGGAUGUUAAAACAAAAUAAGGAAACAUCUGGUUUAACCGAGGGAGGCGUCGUUUGCUAAUGACAGCGGCCUGGUGUCACACCGUCCUGCCCCAGCCAGGGCUUGAAGGCUUUGGCUUGGGAAACCUGAUCUAGAUCACGUAGGGCAACACCGUGUCCUCCCUCCAAAAUUAAAACUAAAACAGGAAAAGGUGCGUCUUUUGGGUUCUUUUCCCCGUGAACCUCAAGAAAUAGCGUUUUCUGCCAUAUAAA